rnacentral:rRNA from 1 species
UACGUAGGGGGCAAGCGUUGUCCGGAUUUAUUGGGCGUAAAGAGCGUGUAGGCGGCCAGGUAGGUCAGCUGUGAAAACUCGAGGCUCAACCCCGAGACGCCGGUUGAAACCAUCUGGCUAGAGUCCGGAAGAGGAGAGUGGAAUUCCUGGUGUAGCGGUGAAAUGCGCAGAUAUCAGGAAGAACACCCGUGGCUAAGGCGGCUCUCUAGUACGGUACUGACGCUGAGACGCGAAAGCGUGGGGAGCGAACAGG